rnacentral:rRNA from 1 species
UUUAACGGCCGCGGUAUCCUGACCGUGCAAAGGUAGCGCAAUCACUAGCCUUUUAAUUGAAGGCCCGUAUGAAUGGCUAGACGAGGGCUCAGCUGUCUCCUUACCCCAGUCAAUGAAACUGAUCUCCCCGUGCAGAAACGGGGAUACCCACACAAGACGAGAAGACCCUAUGAAGCUUUAGACACCCUAAACCCGAGCUAUUGCCCUUUUCCCACACAAAAACGCACCGCUUGCCACUUUCAAAGUGUCUUUGGUUGGGGCGACCUAGGAGGAAAGCAUAGCCUCCUUGUGACAAGGGGCAAAACCCCUACCCCUUAGAGCUACCCCUCCAAGCAGCGGAACCCUGACCUUAUAGACCCGGCACUGCCGAUCAACGAAACGAGUUACUCUAGGGAUAACAGCGCAAUCCCCUCUUAGAGUUCUUAUUGAGGAGGGGGUUUACGACCUCGAUGUUGGAUCAGGACAUCCUAAUGGUGCAGCCGCUAUUAA